UACAGAGGUCCCAAGCGUUGUCCGGAAUUACUGGGCGUAAAGGGCUCGUAGGCGGUCUGUUGCGUCGGGAGUGAAAACUUACAGCUUAACUGUGAGCGUGCUUUCGAUACGGGCAGACUUGAGGCAUUCAGGGGAGAACGGAAUUCCUGGUGUAGCGGUGAAAUGCGCAGAUAUCAGGAGGAACACCGGUGGCGAAGGCGGUUCUCUGGGGAAUGUCCUGACGUGAGGAGCGAAAGUGUGGGGAGCGAACAGG
rnacentral:rRNA from 1 species